rnacentral:rRNA from 1 species
AUUGAACGCUGGCGGCAUGCUUUACACAUGCAAGUCGAACGGCAGCGCGGGCUUCGGCCUGGCGGCGAGUGGCGAACGGGUGAGUAAUACAUCGGAACGUGCCCAGUAGUGGGGGAUAGCUCGGCGAAAGCCGGAUUAAUACCGCAUACGACCUGAGGGUGAAAGCGGGGGCUCUUCGGACCUCGCGCUAUUGGAGCGGCCGAUGGCAGAUUAGCUAGUUGGUGGGGUAAAGGCCUACCAAGGCGACGAUCUGUAGCUGGUCUGAGAGGACGACCAGCCACACUGGGACUGAGACACGGCCCAGACUCCUACGGGAGGCAGCAGUGGGGAAUUUUGGACAAUGGGCGAAAGCCUGAUCCAGCAAUGCCGCGUGUGUGAUGAAGGCCUUCGGGUUGUAAAGCACUUUUGGCGGGAACGAAAAGGACUGUGCCAAUACCACGGUUCGAUGACGGUACCCGCAGAAUAAGCACCGGCUAACUACGUG